rnacentral:rRNA from 1 species
GUUAGAAGGAUACACCUGUAACCAUGCCGAACACAGAAGUUAAGCUUCUUAGCGCCGAUUGUAGUGAGGGGUUGCCCCUUGUGAGAGUAGGA